rnacentral:rRNA from 1 species
CCUACGGGAGGCAGCAGUGAGGAAUAUUGAGCAAUGGACGAGGGUCUGAACCAGCCAAGUAGCGUGAAGGAUGACUGCCCUAUGGGUUGUAAACUUCGUUUAUAUGGGAAUAAAAUGUUCCACGUGUGGGAUUUUGUAUGUACCAUAUGAAUAAGGAUAGGCUAACUCCGUGCCAUCAGCCGCGCUAAGACGGAGGAUCCGAGCGUUGUCCGGAUUUAUUGGGUUUAAAGGGAGCGUAGGUGGAUUGUAAAGUCAGUUGUGAAAGUUUGCGGCUCAAACGUAAGAUUGCAGUUGAAACUGGCAGUCUUGAGUACAGUAGAGGUUGGCGGAAUUCGUGGUGUAGCGGUGAAAUGCUUAGAUAUCACGAAGAACUCCGAUUGCGAAGGCAGCUCACUGGACUGCAACUGACACUGAGGCUCGAAAGUGUGGGUAUCAAACAGGAUUAGAUACCCCGGUAGUC